UACAGAGGGUGCAAGCGUUAAUCGGAAUUAUUGGGCGUAAAGGGCCUGUAGGUGGACUGUUAAGUUUGAUGUGAAAGCCCUGGGCUUAACCUGGGAAUGGCGUUGAAGACUGGCAGACUAGAGUCGGACAGAGGGUUGUGGAAUUUCCGGUGUAGCGGUGAAAUGCGUAGAGAUCGGAAAGAACACCAGUGGCGAAGGCGGCAGCCUGGGUCCAGACUGACACUGAGGGGCGAAAGCGUGGGGAGCAAACAGG
rnacentral:rRNA from 1 species